AUCCAGCCUAUAGUGAGCAGCCCCAG
rnacentral:piRNA from 1 species